rnacentral:rRNA from 1 species
UACAGAGGGUGCGAGCGUUGUUCGGAAUUACUGGGCGUAAAGCGUGCGCAGGCGGUUUGCUAAGACAGGUGUGAAAUCCCCGGGCUUAACCUGGGAACUGCGCUUGUUACUGGCAAGCUAGAGUGUGGCAGAGGGGGGUGGAAUUCCAGGUGUAGCAGUGAAAUGCGUAGAGAUCUGGAGGAACACCGAUGGCGAAGGCAGCCCCCUGGGCUAACACUGACGCUCAUGCACGAAAGCGUGGGGAGCAAACAGG